GUCCAGUUGUGUGCUUUGUAUGCUUCCAUCGCUGAGCUCCAUUGAAAACAGUUUCUCCAUGCAAACCAGGAAGUGUCUACUCCAGACAACGUAAUGACUCCUCUUUUCUUAUCUCUACAGCUGUGAUCUGUUGAGUGACGCGGAUGUCAUUGGGCAGUUGAAUGUGCAUGU